GAACAGUGAGUACAGGAGGGGACUAGCACACACCCCUGAGGAGCCCCAGUGUUGAGGAUCAGCGUGGCAGACGUGUUGUUACCUACCCUCACCACCUGGGGGCGGCCCGUCAGGAAGUCCAGGAUCCAGUUGCAGAGGGAGGUGUUUAGUCCCAGGAUCCUUAGCUUUGUGAUGAGCUUCGUGGGCACGAUGGUGUUGAACGCUGAGCUGUAGUCAACGAACAGCAUUCUGAGGCAGAUAUCAGUUUUUAGUAACAAUAAGAAUCAAGAGGACAAUUGGUCUUCACUUUUAUUCAGUUUUUCAUAACAUUAAUAUAUUCACAAUCAUUGUGAUUUGUAUAGUAUCAGAGAAAUAAGCAUGUAUAAACUAUUUAUCCCAGUUUUAUUGUUAAAGAACCAUUUACAUUUUUGACUUAAAACACAUUUUUACAUAUUUUUUAUUUUGCUAUAGAAUGGUUAAACCAAGCGACUCCCUCACUGAGCCGCUAGCCCGCUGACCGUGCAGCUAUAUUGCUAUAGAAUGGUUAAACCAAGCGACUCCCUUAAACCAAGCGACUCCCUUAAACCAAGCGACUCCCUCACUGAGCCGCUAGCCCGCUGACCGUGCAGCUAUAUUACUAUAGAAUGCUUAAACCAAGCGACUCCCUCACUGAGCCGCUAGCCCGCUGACCAUGCAGCUAUAUUACUAUAGAAUCGUUAAACCAAGCGACUCCCUCCCUGAGCCGCUAGCCCGCUGACCAUGCAGCUAUAUUACUAUAGAAUCGUUAAACCAAGCGACUCCCUCACUGAGCCGCUAGCCCGCUGACCAUGCAGCUAUAUUACUAUAGAAUGCUUAAACCAAGCGACUCCCUUAAACCAAGCGACUCCCUUAAACCAAGCGACUCCCUCCCUGAGCCGCUAGCCCGCUGACCGUGCAGCUAUAUUGCUAUAGAAUGCUUAAACCAAGCGACUGGUACAUUCAGAUCACUGAGGUUGACACAGAAAGAAAGAACACACUAACAUUUUGACAAGUCAUUUUAAAUGUACUAUUGUCUUCUGCAACGAACAGAACAUCUGAAAUGGGUUCACAACAGAACAUCUGAAAUGGGUUCACAACAGAACAUCUGAAAUGGGUUCACAACAGAACAUCUGAAAUGGGUUCACAACAGAACAUCUGAAAUGGGUUCACAACAGAACAUCUGAAAUGGGUUCACAACAGAACAUCUGAAAUGGGUUCACGACAGAACAGUGUAGAUCCAUUAGACUGCUGGAUGGAAGGGUGCUCUGCUGGCUGACUGACUGACUGACUGGCUGGCUGACUGACUGACUGGCUGGCUGGGGCAUUUUGCAUUAGACUGCUGACUACUGCAGAUGGAAGGGUGCUCCGCUAGCUAGCUGGCUGACUGGCUGCUGACUACUGCAGAUGGAAGGGUGCUCCGCUAGCUAGCUGACUGACUGGCUGACUGGCUGGCUGGCUGGCUGAUGCUGGGGCAUUUUCAUAACUUCUGGUCAUUUCUUCAAAAGAUAAAUGUUUUUACACACUUACUUUGCAUUUACCUGGACUUCCUGUAUAAUUCCCCGUUAGUAUUGCAUUUACCUUGACUUCCUGUAUAAUUCCC
ensembl:lncRNA